rnacentral:rRNA from 1 species
UACGUAGGUCCCGAGCGUUGUCCGGAUUUAUUGGGCGUAAAGCGAGCGCAAGUGGUUUGUUAAGUCUGGUGUAAAAGGCAGUGGCUCAACCAUUGUAUGCAUUGGAAACUGGUAGACUUGAGUGCAGGAGAGGAGAGUGGAAUUCCAUGUGUAGCGGUGAAAUGCGUAGAUAUAUGGAGGAACACCGGUGGCGAAAGCGGCUCUCUGGCCUGUAACUGACACUGAGGCUCGAAAGCGUGGGGAGCAAACAGG